UGUUUCCCAAGCUCACCCCACUACCCGCUACCCAGGAAGUUGGGUGUGGUUCCCAGAAAGAGUGGUUAGGAUUUACAUUUUAGUUUGCAUUAAUGACUUAAUCCAUUGUUUGGACCCUUUUCACCAGAAAAGCAAGCAGGGUAUUUUUGUUACCAAAUUUGUUUUACUUGAAAUUAAACCUCCACAAAAGAAAACAGAGGAGUGCCACCAAGCAAAAGUGGGAAAACGGCAGGCCUCCAUGGAUAUCAACCAUCCUUGGCAUUUCAAGUUGAAUGAAGACUAGGCGCAUCUCCCCCUAUUGAAGCUACAUAAGGCAGCCCAAAAAGAGAGAAAGGAUCACAAAGGCAGUAUCUAUCAUACGGGUGCUACAACGAACACAAAAACCACAAAAUGCAACUCUUACCCAACGUCCUGAUGAUCAGGUAAAGUUGGUCCACAUCUGAUUUUCCUGGCCA